UCCGGGGUAGGAGAAUGGUAAACCCAGCGGACUGUUAAUCCGCCGCGCAAGCAACUGCUGGUUCAAGUCCAGCCCCCGGAGCCA
rnacentral:tRNA from 1 species